GACGAACGCUGGCGGCGUGCUUAACACAUGCAAGUCGAACGGAAAGGUCCUGCUCUUGCUGGGUUCUCGUGUGGCGCACGCGUGAGUAACACGUGUGUAUCCUCUACUUGUCUUUCGGAUAUCUCUUCGAAAAUCGGGCUCUUAUCCGAUAUGAGCUAUUGCUCCAUGGUGGGCGUUGGAAAGUUUCGGCUGUUGGGGCUGGACUGGCGGCUUAUCAGCUUGUUUGUGUGGUAGUGGCUUACCAAGGUUGCGACGGGUAGCCGACCUGGGCGGGUGGCCGGCCACAUUGGGACUGAGAUACGGCCCAGACUGGUACGGGAGGCAGCAGGGGGGAAUAUUGCGGAAUGGGCGGAAGCCUGAGACGGCGGCGCCGCGAGCGUGAUGACGUCCUUCGGGUUAAAAACCGCUGUCGCCUGAGACGAAGCGGGAGUGACGGUAAUGAGUAAAAAAGCACCGGCUAACUACGUG
rnacentral:rRNA from 1 species